rnacentral:rRNA from 1 species
GACGAACGCUGGCGGCGUGCUUAACACAUGCAAGUCGAACGAAGAGCGAUGGAAGCUUGCUUCUAUCAAUCUUAGUGGCGAACGGGUGAGUAACGCGUAAUCAACCUGCCCUUCAGAGGGGGACAACAGUUGGAAACGACUGCUAAUACCGCAUACGAUCUAAUCUCGGCAUCGAGGAUAGAUGAAAGGUGGCCUCUACAUGUAAGCUAUCACUGAAGGAGGGGAUUGCGUCUGAUUAGCUAGUUGGAGGGGUAACGGCCCACCAAGGCGAUGAUCAGUAGCCGGUCUGAGAGGAUGAACGGCCACAUUGGGACUGGGACACGGCCCAGACUCCUACGGGAGGCAGCAGUGGGGAAUCUUCCGCAAUGGACGAAAGUCUGACGGAGCAACGCCGCGGGAGCGAUGACGGCCUUCGGGUUGUAAAGCUCUGUUAAUCGGGACGAAAGGCCUUCUUGCGAAUAGUGAGAAGGAUUGACGGUACCGGAAUAGAAAGCCACGGCUAACUACGUG